GGGUGGGGUGAUGGGAGAUUACGUAUUAGCGCUGCUGCCUACUUAAAUAAAAUUCUGAAUCGAGAUGAUGGCCAAUGCACCCAAAAAAUCGAAAAAUGGACGCGGAGGACAAUCCGUGGCUUAGACGGGAGAUCACGUUUGAAGAAUGAGAAUCUGAAUAAUAAAGCCCCAGGUCCCGACGACUUCCCGGCUGCCUUCUGCCAAAGGAUGUGGCCUCACACAUUAAUAAAGCUAUUGAAGUCUCUUAAAAGCAGGUCAGAUCCUCAAAUCGAGAAAUUCUACGUUUAUCACACUUAUUCCGAAGCGGGAAGUUAGCGAUUCCUUCGAUCUUUAUCGGCCUCGCUAUGCAAUUAUGUGUACAAGAAAAAUGAAGAAAUUCUUGCGAAUAGGCUAUGCAACCGAAAGUCAUAAGUUUUAUUGAACCAGAUGGCGUUCGUUAAAAGAAGAGGGAUAGUUUACAAGAUUUUGCUAUCUUCUAGAAAUUUUGAGGAAAUUUCACCGCUCCGCAGUUUUCUGCUAAAAUAGAUUUGCACAAAGCAUUCGAUUCGGUAAAUAGAAACUUCUUUCUUGAUGCUCUAAGAGGCCUGGGCUUUGAUCGGAAAUGGAUCAAUUGGAAAAAACGAAUGCAUCUCGACUCCUUCUUUC
rnacentral:lncRNA from 1 species